rnacentral:rRNA from 1 species
GACGAACGCUGGCGGCGUGCUUAACACAUGCAAGUCGAACGGAAAGGCCCGGCUUUUGUGGGGUGCUCGAGUGGCGAACGGGGGAGUAACACGUGAGUAACCUGCCCUUGACUUUGGGAUAACUUCAGGAAACUGGGGCUCAUACCGGGUAUGAUCUCUUGCUGCGUGGUGGGGGUUGGAAAGUUUCGGCGGUGGGGGAUGGAUUCGCGGCUUAUCAGCUUGUUUGUGAGGUAGUGGCUUACCAAGGUUUUGACGGGUAGCCGGCCUGAGAGGGUGACCGGCCACAUUGGGCCUGAGAUACGGCCCAGUCUCCUACGGGACGCAGCAGGGGGGAAUAUUGCAGAACGGGCGGAAGCCAGAUGUAGAAGCCCCCGGUGCGGGAAGCUGGGCUUCGGGUUGAAAACCAAUGUCGACUGUGCCGAAGCGUGAGUGACGGUACCGGGUAAAGAAGCCCCGGCUAACUACGUG